rnacentral:rRNA from 1 species
UGCGUAGGCGGCGCGGUAAGUCGGGUGUGAAAUCUCGGAGCUUAACUCCGAAACUGCAUUCGAUACUGCCGUGCUUGAGGACUGGAGAGGAGACUGGAAUUUACGGUGUAGCGGUGAAAUGCGUAGAUAUCGUAAGGAAGACCAGUGGCGAAGGCGGGUCUCUGGACAGUUCCUGACGCUGAGGCACGAAGGGUCAGGGAAGGCAAAACG